rnacentral:rRNA from 1 species
ACUAGAAUGAAUGGCUAAAUGAAGACCCAACUGUCUCUUGCAGCCUGCCGAUGAAACUGAUCUCUUAGUUCAAAAGCUAAGAUUUCUCCACAAGACGAGAAGACCCUGUGGAGCUAUCAAACCAAGCACAAAAUUGGCCCCUUGGUUUUCAGUUGGGGCGACUUCGGAGCAUAAAAAACCCUCCGACACAAAACCAAUAAACCCAGAUGGACACAUCAAUACACCAAGACCCAGUAGUUUGUUUUCAAACUACCUGAUCAAUGAACCAAGUUACCCCAGGGAUAACAGCGCCAUCCUCUCCUAGAGUCCCUAUCGACGAGAGGGCUUACGACCUCGAUGUUGGAUCAGGACACCCCAAUAGUGCAACCGCUAUUAAUG